UGUGGGUUGUUUUUUUUUAAUGUUUGAGAGAGAAAGAGUGCAAGUGGGGGAGGGACAGAGAGGGAGAGACACACACAGAGUCCAAAGUGGGCACCAGGUCUUACCUGUCACCACAGAGCCCCAUGGGAGGGUAGAACCCACGAAGAGUGAGAUCAUGCAUGACCUGAGCCAAAGUCAGACACUCAACCAACUGAGCCACCUAGGCGCCCCUUGAUGUGCGUUUUGAUUCACCUAAGGAUAAAUAUGGGGACUUCUGAUGUCUAAUUGACUUUUUAACUCUUGAAAUUCAUCUUUCUCUUCCCUGUUUGGAGCCUAAGUGACAAUGUGGAGGGAGUUGCCAUCUCUUAAGACAUCAGGAGGAGGAACACAUCACCAGAGUAGAGGGAAUGAAAUUAGUGUAAUUUUACAUAGAAAUGAUUAGGAAACAAGUGAUGAUAUGAGCCUGAGGUUUGGAGUGAGUACUUUGCCAUGACCUGGCUCUUCGUGAAAUGUGAAGAUGAGAAAACUCUCUAUCUACAAGCCCAUCAAGAAGCCUGAGCUUAGAGACAAAGCCAGAUAUUGCCAGGCAGGGUGUGUGUCACAAGAGAGGUUUAAACCAUGGUUCUGAGUCUGAGGUGGAGGAAGCCGUUCAUGCCAGGGGAGAAUGAGUGGAGAUGAGAUUUUUGCAAAUGCGGGUAAUGUAUUCUGCACAGGCUCCAUAGACUGUGGUGAUCCUGUGGCGCUGUCUGUUGAGAGCCAGGGUGGCUGCCUGACACUUAACGAGCCCUCAAAGGCUGGUUGUUCAUCCCUUUGAAUGCAGUGGCGGUGGUGGGGAGAAGAGUGAUCUCAGGACAUGAGAGCUCUCACACUGGGCCAACAAAAGAGAAGUUUGCACUUUCUGGUCAGAUGACAGAAUCAGUCCCUGUUAGAGGAGUCUGUUCUAGAGCUUACAUGUGUUGCCUGUAAUUGGGUCCUUCGUGUGUGUUGAAUAAUAUUCCUUUAAGGUUGGAGGCUAACAUUCUCACGUUGGGAUGAAAAAAGUUUGUCUUCUAGGAAUUGCCAUUAAUCCACAUCCUCCAGCCACUAAGUGUAAAGCUGAGAUGGUACCCGUAUGUUUGAUUCCAAAGACCUUGUCCUCCAGGGCCCCCGGCCUAGGGUUCACGAAGGGCAACCUGUGAGCAGCAGGAAGUCAUCCAAGGCCUUCGAGUAGUCAGUCAGUCAGCAGCAGUUUGAGCUUUCCUUGUGUGGAAUUCCAAAUAGCACCUGGGAGUGUGAGUGGCUCAAAUCGAGACUAAAGGAUGGUUUUGUUUGUUCCAUUAUUUGCAGGGACCUAUUUAUGUACCUUAAUAAUUGGAGGAGAGAAAUGUAAGUUGAUAGGAUUUGAUUUUUGUUUCAUCUCUGGUGGUGACAUAAGUAUUUGAAGUGAUUGGAUUUUCUAAGAAGGGUGCUUCCAGAUGGGAGAGAAAUGAGAAGAUAUUUUAUUGUGUUUCUCCAUUUUGGACAAUAUUUUAAAUAGGAAUCUCAUUGAAAUAAGGUUUUCUUAGGUUUAACAUGCUGCUAAAACUUGAUUUCUUCAGGCACAACGGGAAAGCUAAAAUGUUAGUUACACCCACCUGUCAGAUCAUGUGUGCUGCUAAUACACUGGGAUUAUUUGAGGUCACUGGUUUGGUAACAGCCUUAGAACAUGUUUUGUCUCCUUUUAGUUAGUUUACAGUGAAUAAUUGAGAAGAUCAAUACUUUUAAGAAAGAAAACAGAGAACUUCAUUGCUGAAAAAAUAUCCAUUUGGGAACAGAAGAAAAUAAAAAGGCCCUGGAAGACAAGUGUAAUGCAUUGAGGUCUGUGAAAGCAACCAAAGAAGCAAAAGUCAAACAGCUGAAGGACAAAGCAGGCAUCCUUGAAGAAUUCUAUGAAGAAAGAAAAGUGGCUAUAGAAGACUAAAAUGUUCAGGUGAGAACUAUCACAAGUACUGUUGUAUGAAUGAAUGUGACGGCCAGUAGAGAUAACUAAAAUUCUUUUCAAAUUUUUUGCCAAAUGCACUCAGAAUUGUGCCUGUCCUUCUUACCUGGCUUUCUGUCACCCGCAUUUUCCUUUCUGUCCUAAGUGCUUGUCACAUAUUGUGUCAUGUAUUUGGGGUGGAAGAGGGAAGGUGUCAGCAUUAAUAACAUUGAUAUCUGCAUCUGCUUGGGAUUCAGUCCCAUCACGUUGUCUUGUCAUCCAGGAAUUAGGUCAUUUUUGUUCAGGACCACACAUGGGUCAAGAAUGUGUAGGGAAAAAAUCAAUGAUCUUGCUGCAGAAAUAAUAGAAAUUUAUUUCUGGAAAGUGGGUAGGGGUGCCAGUAGUACUGGAUCCCUGCAUCAGUUCUGCUAGUGAGAUUGUUCACAGCAGGCCAAUCCCUAAGGAAGCUGAGUUAUUUCCUGUCCCCUGAUUUUUGAAGUGUAACUCCUCUGAGUCUUGACCAAAGCCCGCAGCUUCACUAGGGCUCAUCUUUGCUGGCUGCCUCUGAACUAAACACGUUUCCUUCUAAGUCUGUGCCCAUAAAGUUGUUCAGCUAUUUUGCAGUUCAGUUUUCUAUCCCCAAGUUCAUUGAUGAGUCCUGGGGAGAUUGGUUCCCACUGCCAGGCUGGCUUUGUCCUGGGCUUCCUUCUUCUCCAUCUUGGUCACAUGUGUCUUCAUGGGGUCAUUAGAAAUUUGGUGCAUUCGCUCACAUGUUUCCUCCUUUGUACAGUAUUUCCUUUUGUUCUCAGGAGGAGAUCAGGGCCUUUAGAGUCCCUCAUUCACAUUGAAAAGGAAAUACUUCCUUCUCUUCCCUGGAGACUCAGCUUCUGUUAGUCCUUCCCACACCUGGGGUGGAGCCUGCUCUGUCUCACUGGCAUCUUGUUUUUAUCAUUUCUAAGCUCUUUUGGAGAGCACGUACAGCACCCUGGCCACCUUUCUAUUUUCAAUCCCUUACAACAGAACCACUACAUUCCAGCCACUCCAGAAAGCAUUUGUUGAAGGACUGCCUGAGAUGCCGGAAGGAAAUGCAUGUGCCUUUCUCUGUCUAGAGGUUUUGUGUCCGUUUCUAGGAGUCUUUCAAUUUUGCAUGUGACUCUUGAAUACAUCCAGUACCAAGUUGAAACCCUUUAAAGUAACACCAUGAACAAAAUAGUCUGAGGGCAACACAGCAAACCAGCCUUUCUAAGCAUUUCCCUUUGCUGCCUUCACUGUCAACGAACUGAGUCUUCUUCAAGUACAUUGGCUCCAUGAAGUUGAUAGUUUUCCAUCUGAAAUCUGUUUCCUGGAGAUAAACCCAGACUGUGUGACAGUUCAUAUCAGGUUCUACCUCAGGUGAUGUUGCUGCUCUAAGAUUGGCCUUUUCCUCCACCAGGAUAUGUGAAGGUGGACGCAGGGGUUGUACUCCUGACUCUAGCAAUGUCUGGGAGUGAGCUGCAAUGUUGGGGAAGCCAUAUCCUGGAAGGUCGUCUUUUAGGGUGAUUGUCUUUGUCAGGGUACAACUUCUGGACUGAGAAUCAGGGCUCCCCACGGAGGUGUGAGACUAGUGAUGAUCCCUUGCUUCAUCCUAAUGGGUAUGGGUGGUCAGACAAGGUUUUUGACACUGAACUGAAAUGAGCCUUCACCAUCUCAAACCAAAGUUCAGCUCUGGGAAGGCACAAAGUGCAAUAUUAUUUGAUGACUUUAUGAUGAAGGAGAGGAAACAGGUCUGACAGCAGAGACAUGGCAGCAGACAGAGGUUGAAUUUUCUUUAACUUAAAUGGGGUGUUCAGUUCAUUUCUCUGACUGUGUUGUCAGUCUGUGCAUUUAUGGGAGAGGUGGGGGAAAGGUAUUUGUAUCUAGGCCUUCAAGAGUGCUGGGAGGUAAAAAGGCAGAAUUUGUGGACCUUGGCUCCUGGACUGUGUAUAUGUCUUUCCCAUCUUAGGAAGCUGAAAAUGACACAGUGUGAACUGGCGGCAAAGAAGAAUCAGCUGGCAGCUGCAGGGAAAAUGUGAAAACAGCCAUGAAAGAAAUAAACAAGUACAAAUCGCAGUUCAUGAGAAUAAUGCUCAGGACAACUGGGUCAAGCCUCAGAUCUGGGAGAGGGAAAUGGCAGAGCAGAGCCGGGAGGUCGCCCGCUUGAAACACAGACUGGAUGUGAUGGAAGGAAAGAGGCUGCUUGAGGGAUACAGGAGGCGGAGAACAAUGCCUGGAAGUCCAGAGACACAGAACCCUCCGAGGAGAGUAAGGAGCAUGUGGUGAUGUGCAGCAGCCUAAUUUCUGCGGCAAAGCGUUUUCCUGUGGGUGAUCAUCGUGUGUCCUGGACAGAACCACAAUUACUACCUAAGGAUAGCAGGGUCCUUAGCAGAUCCAGAAACUGGUGCAACCUCUGUGAGUUACAGCAGCUCUGACUGUACGAAGAAUGCAGACAAGGACAAGGACUUAAUUACUCUGUGUCCUGUAGUAUGCUUCAAGUCAGAAUUCCCUAUGAAUUAAGAUGAACACAUCUGAGCUUUGGAGACAUUCACCACAAGUCACUUGUUCCUCACAGAAGACUUCCUCCAGGCAUCCUCCACUCCCCAGAGGUCUCAGAGGCCUUUGACAACACUUCAAGAGGGAAGACUCCUUUCUCAGGGAGAGGAGCAGAGGAGGCAAAGUGAGGGUCCGGCUGCAGACCUUUUCGCCAGGAGUGGCUGUGAUUCCACGAGCAGAAUAGGAGCCAUUUAUUCCCACUCAAUUUGUUGUGUUCCUAAUAUACCAAAAACAGAGCAUCAGGAGUCACUGCAGAGGAGGGAUGCAGGGUGAACUGGGACCUAGAUGCCUGCCUGUCUGGAGAAUGCUGCUUCAUCACUAUGUAACUACUUCUGUUAACCCUCUAGGACAGGACCCUUGCCAUUUUACUUCCGCAGACAUGGGCAGUGAUGUGUGGUGACAGCAGUUCCUCCUCUUGCAUCUACCACCCCAAGCUGUAGGUGGUAUCCAGUGGCAGGGACAGAGUUUUCAGGACAGUGUGGAUCCAUGGGGACCUCCUUGGCUAACUGGACGAUUCUGCAUGCCCUACCCUAGAGGCUCCCCACCCCCAUGGACCAUUAGGCACGUCCACCUCCUGAACCUUGGCGGCCCUGAACCCCUCCACCUGCAACACUUGGUGUCUCUCGUGGAGAAGGAUUGGGGCUGUCUGCAGAAAAGCAGGCAUAGCGCUUCAGCAGACAUGCCCUGUACACAUGCCACGUGCUGGGCCCUGUGAGGCAUGAGGCACAGCCUAACGUGUGUCCAUCCAGUUGCACCCCCAGCCAUCCCACGUUGUUCGGGCUUUUUGCAGAUCCAGAAGCAGGCGACACUCCCAAGAGUGACAUCAACCCUGGCUCUGCCAAAACUGCCAAGAAGCACAAGGACAACUAUUUUGAAAUUUCAAGAGGACUGUGCGCGGUGACAGACGACAGUGAUUAUGUAUCGAUUUUAAGAAGGUGUCAGACCUGCCUGAAUGCUUUCCCUGCCCAUCCUGUCCCCUCCACUUUGUCCUUCCUACUGUCCCCUAAUACACCUUUCACCAUUCUG